UACGGGGGGGGGCAAGCGUUGUUCGGAAUUACUGGGCGUAAAGGGCUCGUAGGUGGCCAACUAAGUCAGACGUGAAAUCCCUCGGCUUAACCGGGGAACUGCGUCUGAUACUGGAUGGCUUGAGUUUGGGAGAGGGAUGCGGAAUUCCAGGUGUAGCGGUGAAAUGCGUAGAUAUCUGGAGGAACACCGGUGGCGAAGGCGGCAUCCUGGACCAACACUGACGCUGAGUGAGCGAAAGCCAGGGGGAGCAAACGGG
rnacentral:rRNA from 1 species